rnacentral:rRNA from 1 species
CUCGGAUGCCUCAACUACGGGAUCAUCUCGCUCAUCCCAAAGGUUCCUGGGGCGUCCGACAUUCGUUAGUUUCGACCGAUCACGGUCAUUAACGUGAUCUUCCAGAUCCUAGCUAAAGGGUACGCCAAUAGGGUGACCCUGCUGACCAACCGUGUGACGCAUCCCAAUCAGUCAGCUUUCAUUAAGGGCCGUUACAUCCUGGAUGGGGUCCUAGUCCUUCAUGAAGUCCUCCAUGAGGUCCGCUCCAAAAACCUCAAGGCGGUUUUUCUGAAGAUUGACUUCGAUGAGGCUUAUGACACGGUUAGCUGGCCCUUC